ACACUAAUCUUUGUCCCCCAUUUAAAAAAAGUUGGAAAUAAAAAAAAGUAAAUCAUUUGGACAAAACCUCUUAGCCUAAUAAUAACAAAGUAAAUUAUUCCAGCAAACUGCAAUAAUUUUUUUGUUAAGAGAAAUGGCUUAUGCUGCUCUUUCUUCACUUCUGUAUACAUUGGAACAACUAUUCAAACCUAAUCAAUCUUUCGUUUGUCGAAGCUACACGCAACAUGUUCAAUCUCUCUAUCAAAAUCUUUCUGCUCUGCAAGAUCUCCUUGACGAUACUACAAAGGAUACUGAAACUCUUAAGGUUAUAGAAAUGAGGAUCAGAAAUGUAGUAUACAAAGCGGAAUAUAAAGUUGAUUUAUGUCUACGAAGGAUCAUUCUAGCAGAUCGUGAGGACAAGCGGGAAAAGGCUUAUACAUCCUUUUAUGAAGAAUUGUUGAAAGUGAAAGGACAAGUUUAUUUUCUCCACAAAGAGGUGAUGCAGAUUAAUGUUAAAAAGCAUGGAAGCAAAUCUGCAGAAUCAGCAACAACUACCUACUCACCAGAAAAAAGUACAAUUGAGGGAAAUACUAUUUUUGGGAUGGAGGAUGACUUCAACAUCAUACUUGAUCGCGUCACUGCCCAAACAGACGAGUUAACUGUCAUACCAAUUUUUGGUAUGGGCGGUAUCGGUAAGACAACUCUUGCCAGAAAAAUUUAUGAUGAUUCAUCUAUUUGUUCUCGAUUUGAUAAACAUGCAUGGGUCACUAUCUCCGAAGAAUACAAUCAGAGACAAAUGCUUCUUGAAGUAGCCUCUUCAAUUACCGGAAGCAAACAAGAAAUGAGUGAUGAUGAACUAAUGGAGAUUGUGUAUAGAGGCCUGAAGGGUAGGAGAUUCCUAAUUGUCAUAGAUGAUAUUUGGAGUACCGAGGCAUGGGACCAAAUGCAAAGAAUAUUUCCAAAUGAUGACAAUAAAAGCCGAAUUCUAUUAACCACACGGCUCAAGUAUGUUGCUGAUUAUGUCAACUGCCCUGAUUUUCCACCUCAUAGUAAGUCUUUUCUAAGUCUAGAAGAUAGUUGGAAUCUAUUUACCGAAAAAUUAUUCAAAAAGAUCACUGUCCUCCUCUUCUAGAAGAAAUAGGGAAGCAUAUUGUACAACAAUGUCGAGGAUUACCUCUCUCAGUGGUUGUCGUUGCUGGACUUCUUGGGAAAAUGGACCCAACACAGGAUAAUUGGAAGAAGGUUGAGGAAAAUCUGAACUCAUUCUUUGGUACGGUGUCCGAACGGUGCCAAUCAAUUCUGUCUCUGAGCUACAAUUACUUGCCCCAAUAUUUGAAGGCUUGUUUUCUCUAUGUUGGAGGUUUUCCAGAAGACAGAGAGAUUAAUGUUUCCAAGUUGAUUAGGCUAUGGAUUGCAGAGCAAUUUGUAAAGGCAAGAAGCAAUAUAAGAUUAGAAGUGGUGGCAGAGGAGUAUCUACAAGAGUUAAUUGAUAGAAGUCUAAUUUUGACUGGUAAACAAAGUUAUAAUGGAAGGAUGAGAACUUGCAAAAUUCAUGAUCUUCUUCGCCAAAUGUGCCUAAGUGAAACUCAUACUGAAAAUGUUGUGCAUGUCAUGAAUGGGAAUGUCCUCGUGUCCUUAUUAAAAGUAAUAGAUGAUCAGCGGCGAGUGAUAGGUCUGUGUAAACAUAAAGAGAAGCAAGUUUAUCCUACAAUGCAUAGCAAUUGUAUAACAAGUAUAGCUCGUACCUUUAUUUCAAAGCCAUUUUUUUACCACACCGGUUUUCCAGAAAGGAUUUGUUCCAUUGUUUCAGAAUUCAAGUUGCUUAAGGUGUUGGACGUAUUAUCACUCUGGUACGAUUUCUCUAGUGUAAUACCUGAGCUUGUACAUUUGAGAUAUGUUGCUGCAAGAAUUGAGAAAGCUGUUUCACUAGACAAAUUGAGAAAUCUACAGACCAUAAUUCUUCAAACAAAUAUCGUUAUCAACAGACCAAGAGAGUUGGAGCAGCCAGUAGAUAUCUGGAGAAUGUCAGAGCUAAGACAUUUGGAUAUCAGAUCGCCACUAUAUAUAUCUAAUCCUCUUGAGGCAGAAAAUGAUAGUAUUGGAGAGCAACCUUUGUUUCUCAAUAACUUGCAAAAUCUUUAUCUAUAUAAGGCUCCUUUUAUAGCGGAAAUCAUAAGAAGAACUCCGAAUCUGAAAAAGCUGAAGCUUUUAGAUGAUUCUGAGCAUUCUGAGUGGCCUGCAAUUCUUGAUUCUCUAAUUCUUUUAGAGGAGCUGGAGACGCUACUCAUAACGCUGGAGAGCAUUGACCUGAACAUUUUCUCUGGAGAUAUUUUGCCUUGUAAAAUCAAGAAAAUGACGUUAAGUUCUAAUAUCAAGAAAUUGAUAUUAGCAGGUACUUAUAUACCAUGGGAAGUUGUGAAUUUGCUGGCUAAUUUACCCAAUCUUGAGGUGCUCAAAGGGUAUCGUGCAUUCGAUGGAACAGAUUGGAAACUCGAUGAAGUUGUUGUGUUUCACAAAUUAAAAUAUCUACAAAUUGUUGGUAAAGGUCUGGAAAGGUGGGAAGCAUGUAGAAAUAAACAAUUCGUAGGUCUGGAAAGGUGGGAAUUAGCAGAUGGUAGUGAUAAUUUUCCGAUGCUUGAGCAACUAUUACUGCGUGGGUUGGAUGAAUUGGAGGAGAUUCCUGAGAGUAUCGGAGAUAUAAUGACACUAAAAUUCAUCCAAAUAAAAUAUUGCAGCUCUGGUGUAGUAAAUAGUGCAAAGAGAAUUCAACAAGAGCAAGAUAGCUUGGGAAAUUAUGAACUUCAACUUCAAAUUACUCCAAAGAAGGAAGGAAGGAUGAAGAAAGAGAAGGGUACUUGAAGGAAGCUGGUGAUGAUUAUACUGCUUCUCAUUAUAUACUUCCACAUCUUCUCAAUUUAUAUGCAUCGCGAGCCAAGGCACAAGAUUUUGAGAUUUAUGCUCCAAAUGCAACGUUCGAAGAUCCCCUUAUGCGUGCAGAGGG